UGGGGGAUAUUGCACAAUGGGCGAAAGCCUGAUGCAGCGACGCCGCGUGGGGGAUGAAGGCUUUCGGGUUGUAAACCUCUUUCGCUAUCGAACAAGGCCCGCUUAGGGUGGGUUGAGGGUAGGUGGAGAAGAAGCGCCGGCUAACUACGUGCCAGCAGCCGCGGUAAUACGUAGGGCGCGAGCGUUGUCCGGAAUUAUUGGGCGUAAAGGGCUUGUAGGCGGCUUGUUGCGCCUGCUGUGAAAACGCGGGGCUUAACUUCGCGCGUGCAGUGGGUACGGGCAGGCUUGAGUGUGGUAGGGGUGACUGGAAUUCCGGGUGUAGCGGAGGAAUGCGCAGAUAUCUGGAGGAACACCGAUGGCGAAGGCAGGUCACUGGGCCAUUACUGACGCUGAGGAGCGAAAGCAUGGGUAGCGAACAGG
rnacentral:rRNA from 1 species